AUUGAACGCUGGCGGCAUGCUUUACACAUGCAAGUCGAACGGUAACAGGUCUUCGGAUGCUGACGAGUGGCGAACGGGUGAGUAAUACAUCGGAACGUGCCUAGUAGUGGGGGAUAACUACUCGAAAGAGUAGCUAAUACCGCAUGAGAUCUACGGAUGAAAGCAGGGGACCUUCGGGCCUUGUGCUACUAGAGCGGCUGAUGGCAGAUUAGGUAGUUGGUGGGGUAAAGGCUUACCAAGCCUGCGAUCUGUAGCUGGUCUGAGAGGACGACCAGCAACACUGGGACUGAGACACGGCCCAGACUCCUACGGGAGGCAGCAGUGGGGAAUUUUGGACAAUGGGCGAAAGCCUGAUCCAGCAAUGCCGCGUGCAGGAUGAAGGCCCUCGGGUUGUAAACUGCUUUUGUACGGAACGAAAAGCCUGGGGCUAAUAUCCCCGGGUCAUGACGGUACCGUAAGAAUAAGCACCGGCUAACUACGUGCCAGCAGCCGCCGUAA
rnacentral:rRNA from 1 species